GACCGUUGGCGCCCGUUAUUUUGCGAAGUGCGGAGGAGAGACUGCAGUUUCGAGUCCAGGUAUAUAACAAGCCAACUUCGCGCUAUUCUCUGUUGGCGGCGCUGGCGCCAUUGGCGGCCCACUUGGUUACGGAUUAGAUCGAUCGGUGUGCGGCGAAUGUUAAUCGCGGAUUAAUUUCAACGAGACUCCCUCUCGGCCGGUGUAUUGCUGAUGAUCACUCUUAUCGUAUCACUCGGACGAAUAAGAUCUUCGUACGAGCGCCCUGCGCGAGCGAUCGCCAUGUCCCUUCUUUCGCCACCGCCCGAGGGCUCGUCGUCUGGACGUCGGACAAGCGCCGAUAUAUCAACGUUACACGUACAUACACGUGCAGACUCGGGACGACGACGUGGUGUCGUACAGAGAAAGAUGCGACGUCGCCGAUGGGAACGAACGGGAGGAAGCGAUUCGAUAUUACAUGCUUGACGA